GGAUAACCGUGGUAAUUCUAUGGCUAAUACAUGCGCAAGUAUCCUUUGAGAAAAGGAUAGUGUUUAUUAAAUACAGAAGCAAUAAUAAAGACGUCACAAGAGCAGCUUUUGUUGUUUCUUGUGGUGUCUUUUCAAUAGAAGGUGAUUCAUAGUAGCCGAACGGAUCGCAUAUUCUUGUUUUAGAAUGGCGAUAGAUCAUUCAAGUUUCAGACCUAUCAGCUUUCGACGGUAGUGUGUUGGACUACCGUGGCAGUGACGGGUAACGGGGAAUUACGGUUCGAUUCCUGAGAGAGAGCCUGCGAAACGGCUACCACAUCUAUGGAAGGCAGCAGGCGCGCAAAUUACCCAAUUCUGACACAGGGAGGUAGUGACAAGAAAUAACAACACUGGAAAUUUGACUUCUAGUGAUUGCAAUGAUGGGAAUCCAGACACCUUUUAGAGUAACAUUUGGAGAGCAAGUCUGGUGCCGGCAGCCGCGGUAAUUCCAGCUCCAAUAGCGUAUAUUAAAGUUGUUGCAGUUAAAAAGCUCGUAGUUGGAUAUCUGCUGGAAGCAAUCAGUCCGCCCUUUUUUAUAGGGGUGUGCACUUAUGAAUUCUGGCAUGAGUUUAACUUUCCUAAUGGUAAUGCUUACUAUUAGGUUAAUUCCUAAUAUUAAUGGUUAUUAUUGGGAUAGGUAGCCGUUACUUUGAGGAAACUAGAGUGUUUAAUGCAGGCUGUUCUUAUGCCUUGAAUACUGCGGCAUGGAAUAACAAUAUAGGAUUUCGGUUCUGUUUUGUUGAUUUCUAGGACUGGAAUAAUGGUUAAUAGGGACAGCUGGGGGCAUUCGUAUUUAACUGUCAGAGGUGAGAUUCCUGGAUUUGUUAAAGACGAACUAAUGCGAAAGCAUUUGCCAAAGAUGUUUUCAUAAAUCAAGAACGAAAGUUAGGGGCUCGAAGACGAUCAGAUACCGUCGUAGUCUUAACCAUAAACUAUGCCGACUAGAGAUAGGAAAAUGUCAUUACUGACUUCUCCUGCACCUUAUGAGAAAUCAGAGUCUUUGGGUUCCGGGGGGAGUACGUUCGCAAGGCUGAAACUUAAAGGAAUUGAAGGAAGGGCACCACCAGGCGUGGAGCCUGCGGCUUAAUUUGACCCAACACGGGGAAUCUCACCAGGUCCAGACAUAGG
rnacentral:rRNA from 1 species